GCACUGCUGAAGAGUCCCAAAAUAGGACGAAACAGCCGUCCAGUAC
rfam:Schistosoma haematobium scaffold1411_5, whole genome shotgun sequence.